GGCUGUAGCUCAGUGGAUAGAGUAUUGGCCUCCGAAGCCAAGGGUCGUGGGUUCGAUCCCCGCCAGCCGCACCA
rnacentral:tRNA from 1 species